UGGGGAAUAUUGCACAAUGGAGGGAACUCUGAUGCAGCGACGCCGCGUGAACGAAGAAGGCUUUCGAGUCGUAAAGUUCUUUUAUAUGGGAAGAUAAUGACGGUACCAUAAGAAAAAGCCCCGGCUAACUACGUGCCAGCAGCCGCGGUAAUACGUAGGGGGCUAGCGUUGUCCGGAAUCACUGGGCGUAAAGGGUUCGCAGGCGGAAAUGCAAGUCAGGUGUAAAAGGCAGUAGCUUAACUACUGUAAGCAUUUGAAACUGCAUAUCUUGAGAAGAGUAGAGGUAAGUGGAAUUUUUAGUGUAACGGUGAAAUGCGUAGAUAUUAAAAAGAAUACCGGUGGCGAAGGUGACUUACUGGGCUCAUUCUGACGCUGAGGAACGAAAGCGUGGGUAGCAAACAGG
rnacentral:rRNA from 1 species